GUGAUAGUGUAAGGAGUUAGAUCAUCCUACUCAGUGAGGCUUUUGUUUCCUGAUUUGGGAGCAGAAGAAAUAAUGCAGAACUUCAUCACACAGGUGAGCCUCUAAAUGUGCCUCAGACAGACUUUCAACACGAGAAGGUCAGUGAACUCACACUAGAAAGGAUGAAGAAGAAAAAAGAAAAAAAAUCCUGUGGUGGAUUUAGAUGAACAAAGUGCUGACACAAGCCGGUACACGCCUGCAAUGCCAGCCCUGGAGAGACAGGAAGAAUGUGAGUCUGAGGCCAUCUUGGAUACCUUAAGGAGAUCUUGUCUCAAUAAAGGAUGGAAAAUCCAAGACAGUUAGAAACCUGGGCACAAACCAAACUGUUUCACAAUAGGUCGUGAGAUUAGAGUGCUUCUUGGCUUUUCUGAGACUCUACACACGUGUCCGUGGAAGUAUAAACAUGAGUAUGCAUGUCUCUUAGCAUAGCUGUGAUAUUGGAAGUGAGUGCAAAUGUGCAGAGGUAUGUGAUGGCAGAGGCUGACAGGUAUGUGAGCUGAAGAAAGUAAUGCAGGCAAUGAUAUUUUUAUCCUUUAUAAUUGGUAUGUUAGCAAUGUAAACAUGUUAAGUUUUAUUGUGGCAUAUUUCAAACGUAUUUCAAACAAAACUGUAUGUUUUUUGCUUUUCUUCUCCCCUUUCCCUGUCACGGCUUUUCUCUCAAAUCAACCUGUUUUCAUGUCAGGAGCAUUCUUUUGGCA